AUACGUAGGGGGCGAGCGUUGUCCGGAAUGAUUGGGCGUAAAGGGCGCGUAGGCGGCGCGGUAAGUCUGGAGUAAAAGUCCUGCUUUCGAGGUGGGAAUUGCUUUGGAUACUGCCGCGCUUGAGUGCAGGAGAGGUUAUCGGAAUUCCCGGUGUAGCGGUGAAAUGCGUAGAGAUCGGGAGGAACACCAGUGGCGAAGGCGGGUAACUGGACUGCAACUGACGCUGAGGCGCGAAAGUGUGGGGAGCAAACAGGAUUAGAUACCCUGGUAGUCCACACUGUAAACGAUGAAUGCUAGGUGUAAGAGGUAUCGACCCCUUUUGUGCCGGAGUCAACACAAUAAGCAUUCCGCCUGGGGAGUACGGCCGCAAGGUUGAAACUCAAAUGAAUUGACGG
rnacentral:rRNA from 1 species